rnacentral:rRNA from 1 species
UACAGAGGGGGCAAGCGUUGUCCGGAUUUAUUGGGCGUAAAGCGCUCGCAGGUGGUCCGAUGCGUCGUGCGUGAAAGACCCCGGCUCAACUGGGGAGGGUCGUGCGAUACGGUCGGACUGGAGGCUAGUAGGGGGAUGCGGAAUUCCGGGUGUAGUGGUGGAAUGCGUAGAGAUCCGGAGGAACACCAGCGGCGAAGGCGGCAUCCUGGACUGGUCCUGACACUCAUGAGCGAAAGCGUGGGGAGCGAUCCGG